rnacentral:rRNA from 1 species
CCAAAUGCAUGCUCAGUGAGGCGUCCGGACUGGCCCAGAGAGGUGGGCAACUACCACUCAGGGCCGGAAAGCUCUCCAAACUCGGUCAUUUAGAGGAAGUAAAAGUCGUAACAAGGUCUCCGUUGGUGAACCAGCGGAGGGAUCAUUA